rnacentral:tRNA from 1 species
AAAAUUAUAGUAUAAAUUAGAGUAUAUCUUGUUGUCAACAAGGGGGUGUGAUAAUUUUG